rnacentral:rRNA from 1 species
ACCCUUUGCAAACUCCGAAUACCAGUAAGUACUAUCCGGGAGACACACGGCGGGUGCUAACGUCCGUCGUGGAGAGGGAAACAACCCAGACCGCCAGCUAAGGUCCCAAAGUAUUGCUAAGUGGGAAACGAUGUGGGAAGGCUCAGACAGCUAGGAUGUUGGCUUAGAAGCAGCCAUCAUUUAAAGAAAGCGUAAUAGCUCACUAGUCGAGUCGGCCUGCGCGGAAGAUGUAACGGGGCUAAGCAAUACACCGAAGCUGCGGCAAUGUCUU